UACGAAGGUGGCAAGCGUUGUUCGGAUUUACUGGGCGUAAAGCGCGCGUAGGCGGCUUUGUAAGUUAGAGGUGAAAGCCCGGGGCUCAACCCCGGAAUUGCCUUUAAGACUGCAUCGCUAGAAUCCAGGAGAGGUGAGUGGAAUUCCGAGUGUAGAGGUGAAAUUCGUAGAUAUUCGGAAGAACACCAGUGGCGAAGGCGGCUCACUGGACUGGUAUUGACGCUGAGGUGCGAAAGCGUGGGGAGCAAACAGG
rnacentral:rRNA from 1 species